GACUACCGGGGUAUCUAAUCCUGUUUGCUCCCCACGCUUUCGUGCCUCAGCGUCAGUAUCAUCCCAGCAGAUCGCCUUCGCUUUUGAUAUUCCUAGUGAUAUCUACGGAUUUUACCCCUACACCACUAAUUCCAUCUGCCCCUUCUGAACUCUAGGCUCCCAGUUUCAAAUGCAGUUCAAUGGUUAAGCCAUUGGAUUUCACAUCUGACUUAGAAGCCAGCCUACGCACCCUUUACGCCCAGUGAUUCCGAGUAACGCUUGCACCCUCCGUAUUACCGCGGCUGCUGGCACGGAGUUAGCCGGUGCUUAUUCAAGAGGUACCGUCAUUAUCUUCCCUCUUAAAAGGAGUUUACACACCGAAAUGCGUCAUCCUCCACGCGGCGUUGCUGCAUCAGAGUUUCCUCCAUUGUGCAAUAUUCCUCACUGCAGCCCCCCGUAGG
rnacentral:rRNA from 1 species